rnacentral:rRNA from 1 species
AUAUGGUCAAGUGAAGAAGCGCAUACGGUGGAUGCCUUGGCAGUCAGAGGCGAUGAAAGACGUGGUAGCCUGCGAUAAGCUUCGGGGAGUCGGCAAACAGACUUUGAUCCGGAGAUCUCUGAAUGGGGGAACCCACUCAGCAUAAGCUGAGUAUCUUGUACUGAAUACAUAGGUGCAAGAGGCGAACCAGGGGAACUGAAACAUCUAAGUACCCUGAGGAAAAGAAAUCAACCGAGAUUCCCUUAGUAGUGGCGAGCGAACGGGGACUAGCCCUUAAGUGGCUUUGAGAUUAGCGGAACGCUCUGGAAAGUGCGGCCAUAGUGGGUGAUAGCCCUGUACGCGAAAAUCUCUUAGUCAUGAAAUCGAGUAGGACGGAGCACGAGAAACUUUGUCUGAAUAUGGGGGGACCAUCCUCCAAGGCUAAAUACUACUGACUGACCGAUAGUGAACCAGUACCGUGAGGGAAAGGCGAAAAGAACCCCGGAGAGGGGAGUGAAAUAGAUCCUGAAACCGUAUGCGUACAAGCAGUGGGAGCCUACUUUGUUAGGUGACUGCGUACCUUUUGUAUAAUGGGUCAGCGACUUAUAUUCAGUGGCGAGCUUAACCGAAUAGGGGAGGCGUAGCGAAAGCGAGUCUUAAUAGGGCGUUUAGUCGCUGGGUAUAGACCCGAAACCGGGCGAUCUAUCCAUGGGCAGGUUGAAGGUUAGGUAACACUGACUGGAGGACCGAACCGACUACCGUUGAAAAGUUAGCGGAUGACCUGUGGAUCGGAGUGAAAGGCUAAUCAAGCUCGGAGAUAGCUGGUUCUCCUCGAAAGCUAUUUAGGUAGCGCCUCAUGUAUCACUGUAGGGGGUAGAGCACUGUUUCGGCUAGGGGGUCAUCCCGACUUACCAAACCGAUGCAAACUCCGAAUACCUACAAGUGCCGAGCAUGGGAGACACACGGCGGGUGCUAACGUCCGUCGUGAAAAGGGAAACAACCCAGACCGUCAGCUAAGGUCCCAAAGUUAUGGUUAAGUGGGAAACGAUGUGGGAAGGCUUAGACAGCUAGGAGGUUGGCUUAGAAGCAGCCACCCUUUAAAGAAAGCGUAAUAGCUCACUAGUCGAGUCGGCCUGCGCGGAAGAUGUAACGGGGCUCAAACCAUACACCGAAGCUACGGGUAUCACUUAGGUGAUGCGGUAGAGGAGCGUUCUGUAAGCCUGUGAAGGUGAGUUGAGAAGCUUGCUGGAGGUAUCAGAAGUGCGAAUGCUGACAUGAGUAACGACAAUGGGAGUGAAAAACUCCCACGCCGAAAGACCAAGGUUUCCUGCGCAACGUUAAUCGACGCAGGGUUAGUCGGUCCCUAAGGCGAGGCUGAAAAGCGUAGUCGAUGGAAAACAGGUUAAUAUUCCUGUACUUCUGGUUAUUGCGAUGGAGGGACGGAGAAGGCUAGGCCAGCUUGGCGUUGGUUGUCCAAGUUUAAGGUGGUAGGCUGAGAUCUUAGGUAAAUCCGGGAUCUUAAGGCCGAGAGCUGAUGACGAGUUGCCAUUAGGCGACGAAGUGGUUGAUGCCAUGCUUCCAAGAAAAGCUUCUAAGCUUCAGAUAACCAGGAACCGUACCCCAAACCGACACAGGUGGUUGGGUAGAGAAUACCAAGGCGCUUGAGAGAACUCGGGUGAAGGAACUAGGCAAAAUGGCACCGUAACUUCGGGAGAAGGUGCGCCGGUGAGGGUGAAGGACUUGCUCCGUAAGCCCAUGCCGGUCGAAGAUACCAGGCCGCUGCGACUGUUUAUUAAAAACACAGCACUCUGCAAACACGAAAGUGGACGUAUAGGGUGUGACGCCUGCCCGGUGCCGGAAGGUUAAUUGAUGGGGUUAGCUAACGCGAAGCUCUUGAUCGAAGCCCCGGUAAACGGCGGCCGUAACUAUAACGGUCCUAAGGUAGCGAAAUUCCUUGUCGGGUAAGUUCCGACCUGCACGAAUGGCGUAACGAUGGCGGCGCUGUCUCCACCCGAGACUCAGUGAAAUUGAAAUCGCUGUGAAGAUGCAGUGUAUCCGCGGCUAGACGGAAAGACCCCGUGAACCUUUACUAUAGCUUUGCACUGGACUUUGAAUUUGCUUGUGUAGGAUAGGUGGGAGGCUUUGAAGCGUGGACGCCAGUUCGCGUGGAGCCAUCCUUGAAAUACCACCCUGGCAACUUUGAGGUUCUAACUCAGGUCCGUUAUCCGGAUCGAGGACAGUGUAUGGUGGGUAGUUUGACUGGGGCGGUCUCCUCCUAAAGAGUAACGGAGGAGUACGAAGGUGCGCUCAGACCGGUCGGAAAUCGGUCGUAGAGUAUAAAGGCAAAAGCGCGCUUGACUGCGAGACAGACACGUCGAGCAGGUACGAAAGUAGGUCUUAGUGAUCCGGUGGUUCUGUAUGGAAGGGCCAUCGCUCAACGGAUAAAAGGUACUCCGGGGAUAACAGGCUGAUACCGCCCAAGAGUUCAUAUCGACGGCGGUGUUUGGCACCUCGAUGUCGGCUCAUCACAUCCUGGGGCUGAAGCCGGUCCCAAGGGUAUGGCUGUUCGCCAUUUAAAGUGGUACGCGAGCUGGGUUUAGAACGUCGUGAGACAGUUCGGUCCCUAUCUGCCGUGGACGUUUGAGAUUUGAGAGGGGCUGCUCCUAGUACGAGAGGACCGGAGUGGACGAACCUCUGGUGUUCCGGUUGUCACGCCAGUGGCAUUGCCGGGUAGCUAUGUUCGGAAGAGAUAACCGCUGAAAGCAUCUAAGCGGGAAACUUGCCUCAAGAUGAGAUCUCACUGGAGCCUUGAGCUCCCUGAAGGGCCGUCGAAGACUACGACGUUGAUAGGUUGGGUGUGUAAGCGCUGUGAGGCGUUGAGCUAACCAAUACUAAUUGCCCGUGAGGCUUGACCAU